rfam:Pongo abelii chromosome 6.
GCCAAAAUAGCUCAGCUGGGAGAGUGUUAGACUGAAGAUCUAAAGGCCUCUGGUUUGAUCCUGGGUUUCGGAA